rnacentral:lncRNA from 1 species
GUGAUGCAUAGCGACUCCGCCUCGCUAGAAGGCACGUUCUGGCCUCGCUAGUCAAGAGCAAGCUUUCAGACCCAGCCAGAGAGCGCUCUCCGUUCCUAUAGCAACUGCGCCAGAUCCAGGUGCCUACGGUGACCGUCAAGGCCAAAAUAGGUUCAUCGCGUGUGCGGCCUAAACCGGUCUGUGCGCGCGUCGCAGGCGUGGGGUCUUUAAGUGACACGUGACUGCCCCGGGCCUGGGCCCCGCCUCCUUCCCCUCCCCAGGUUCUCUGGUGUGGACUGGAAGCGCCGGCCCCGGCGGAUUCACUGGAGCACGGACGCUGCGGCCGGUUGGGCCGGUGCCCUUUCCCGGUAACUCCUUCCCGGCUUGACGCGCGAGCGUGGCGGGGCCUUGCAAGCUGGGGGAUCUCCCGUCAGAUCCUCCGCGUCCUCAGCCCGCGCUGGGCCCCGGGGGGCCCCGGGAGCCGACAGGAACCGGGGCGGCGGGGGAGGGGGCCGCCUCCCGGAAGGUCGUAACCCGGGCGGGCGCCCGAGUCGGGACUUGGUCCUGCGGAGCGUCUGGGGAGCCUCCGCCGCCUGCGCUUGGGGACGCCGAGGGCUACCUGUUGGCCAGCGCGUCCCCAAUCCUGUGGCCGGCCCCCUGGAGCUGGAGAACGUCAGCCAAAAAUUGUCCCCACCUCACCCACUCCCGCAGCAGACACUUCACCCACCCUGCCUGUGGAUUCUGCUUAGUAAACCCCUUACCCACUUUACUGUACCCCAUCCCCAUAAAGAUCCUGCUAGGUGCUGGUGUUCAGUCACACCCUAUCAGCAAGAACACAGGUUUAGGUCCUAGAAUGGUGGUGGACAGCCCCCCACCCCCGCAAUCUGAUCCCCAAUCUGGGUGAGUUUAGCCAGUACCUCAGAACAGGCUGUCUUAAAAGAGAAACAGGAACUGGCUUGCUUGUGGAUUUUACUUAGCAUGUGUGCAGUUCUAAACAGUGGUCAACUGUUUAUAAAGACUCCCAAGCAGGGUUUAUGGCUUGCACUUGUCAAAAUCCACCCCCCCUGAGUAAGGUGUCAGCCACUGAACCUUACUAAACACUGUGAGGUCAAGAUAAAUGGACCCAUGAAACCAGCAUAUGGUAUAAAAGAUCACAGCCCCCUGUGUGAGUGUGUGUAUCUCCAGGUCCACGCUAUCUCCUUAUCAACCAGCCAGGAUUAUUCCAAAACCCACACUGAGUUCUACCCCUCAGCUGAGUUGUAGUUUAAAACAUUUUAAAGCCGUGCCUAUUCUUCUAGUCUUUCCUGUUCUCUUUAGAUAAGAAACUGGAUUCUUAAUAAUAGCAGACUUCUGAAUAUUAAUGCACAGUUAUUUUAAGGUGUUUUACUUUCAUGUCUAUUUAGUGUCCAGAAAUGCCACAAUGAUCCUAGAAUGUAAUUUAGUACAUGAGAAAUCAUGAUGAGUUUGUGAGCUAAUUUGACCCGUUCUCAGCUACUCUGAAGCCAAUUAUUUUAAGUUUAUUGUUAUGAUAGAUGAAAUGGUGCAUUUGAGAUAUCCUCUCCUGGAUAUCCUAGAUAUAUUCUCAGAGUCACCACUUGUUUCAGAGCAUUCAUUUCCAGUAAUUUUAAAAGGACUUUUCUAAUCUAUUAAUCUAUUAUGACUUGUCUUUUUUUUUUUAAUUCAUAAUAGUUCUUGUGUGUGAUAUUCAAAAAUAGUGGUCUUUUUUGUUUUAAAGAUAGGGUCAACUAGAUUGACACAUUCCCUCUU